rnacentral:rRNA from 1 species
UGGCGAACGGGUGAGUAACGCGUGAGGAACCUGCCUCAAAGAGGGGGACAACGGUUGGAAACGACUGCUAAUACCGCAUAAGCCCACGGCUCGGCAUCGAGCAGAGGGAAAAGGAACAAUCCGCUUUGAGAUGGCCUCGCGUCCGAUUAGCUAGUUGGUGAGGUAACGGCCCACCAAGGCGACGAUCGGUAGCCGGACUGAGAGGUUGAACGGCCACAUUGGGACUGAGACACGGCCCAG